AGAAUUAAAGAUACAAGAGAAAACUAAGACAUGACUAUGUAAGACUAAUGUGACUCCCACUGCUCCCCUCCAUCCUCCCUUACCUGACUACUCAGUCUACUAAUCCUCUCUCUGAAUUUUGUUUCCCCUCUGAAGAGACUCGAAGACCAACAACAAAAGUGCACCAAGUGAGGAGCCCCCAUACCAUCUGGGCUGGUCCCAUACUUCAGGAGAUCCUGAGGAAUGCUCCAGUAAACUGCUAGACGUUAUUUCCUUAAAGCUUCAAGAGGAAACUAAAAUUAAAAUUAAUGGCCUUCUUCCCUGAGCUAAACGAAACCAUGUACCCAGGGGGAAAGAAAAACAUUCCAAAGACAAACAGCUCUAAAUCUAGAACACAGGAACUACCAACCAAAUGAUCUCUCUAAGACAGAAAAGGAACAACAGGAAUGACUGACUUGGAGAAUGUGAACUGGACAUCAUGACCUGUGAACAGCACACAGAUAUUCAGCAAAAAUUGUGAGAACUCCCGAGCAGUAGCUGGGAGGAGCUGUGCUCUGGGAUUAUAAAGGUUCAAUGCAUUGGACAUACAGCAUCAUAGACACAGGAGGAACCUCAAGGAUGUCCAUCAGCCCAGGACCUUUGUCUUCCGGGAGAGAACACCUACUUCCAGGGACAGGGGAUAGACUUAACCGGGUCAAACAGCAAGAAUGUCACCAGCCACACCUGCCACCUCUCCAGUACGCAACCAUAGCAUAGCAGGAUUCUGCCACAGAGAGUCAUGACACGGAGGCUUUUCUUUCCAGGAAGCAACUUCAUUCCUGCCGACACCGCUCCGUUGGGUUCUUAGCCAAAGAACUGAGCCCCGAACGCCACGUGGCCUAGUUUUUUAAUGUAUUUUUUUUACUUCUUUGUCUCCCAUAUACGGUAACACCCAAACAUGUAGUCUGAUUAAGUGGUCUCAUGGUACAAGGUCGUGAGGGAUGUUGUCGAGUAAGCGAAGAGCAAGGUUGCCUGGAGGUUAUUUUUUUCUUUCCUUAGAUAGGGGACCCUACUGCAAUAGCGCCUCCAUACCCAAGGGUCUCAGCACGCUAUGCCACUGUGUACUUGUUAGGACUGCCAUAACAAAAUACCACACACUGGGUGGCUUAAACAACAGAAACGUGUUGUCUCGCAGUUCUGGAGGCUAGAAGUCCAAGAUGAAGGUGUGAGCAGAGUUUAUUUCCUUUUAGGCCUCUCCUUGGCUUGCAAAUGGCCGUCUUCUUGCUGUGUGGUCACAUGGUCUUCCCUCUGUGCACCUGCAAGCCUGCUAUCUUUUCAUGUAUCCUAAUUUUCUCUCGUGAUGACACCAGUCAAAUAAAAUCAGCGCUCACUCUAACAGCUUCAUUUUAACCUAAUCACUCCUAUAGAGGCCCUAUGUCCAAAUGCAGCCACAUUCUGAGGUACUGGGGGGUUAAGCCUUCAACAAAGGAAUUUCAGGGGUACACAAUUCAGCCCGUAACAACUCCCUAUGUCAGGGAUGCUUAUCCUGUUCCCUUAACUAAAUCCUAAUCAUCUUCUGCAUCCCAACUUAAACACCCCUUCCUUAAAAGAGCCUAUCCUAACGGCCUCUCACUUCCUAGAGACAAGUUCAGGCCCCUUU